ACAUAAUGAAUAGAUGACAAAUUUAUUUACGUUUUCUUUUGCAAGACAAAUUGUAAUUUUUUUUUUGACGUAUGAUGACAUUGUUCUUUCAAAUAAAUAUAUGCACUUGAUAACUAAAUAUUACAAUUUUUUUUUUACAAAUUUUAAAAUUUAGUUAUAAAGUGCAUAUUUUUAUAUGAAAGAAAAAUGUGAUCUGAUCAUACGUCAAAACCUAAAUAACUACAGUAUAAGCUCGAGAAAAUUAUAGAUUAAUUUCCACGUAAAUCCAUGUAAUACUGGAAAUUAAAACAUUACUAGAUGACCAAAUUUAUUUACGUUUUCUUUACGAAAACAAUUGUAAAAUUUAUCUAGUGCAUAUAUUUGCUUAGAAUGAACCAUGUAAUCUCAUACGCCAAAACGUAAACAAAUAUAUAAAGUACCUGAAUUGGUUACUUCGGUGUAACUUGUGUAAAACGCUAUCUUUAACGGGAGGGUCAUAGUAGGUCACUGUGCCGUCAUCUUCCGCCGAGAGCUUCAUCUUUCGCUUCUUACGAGCUGCCACGAUAACUUGAGCGAUACUGGAGAAUAUACUUCCUUCAGGUUUAACAUAGAUGUAAAGCUUCAUUCCAGCGAAAAAAAUAACCAGCGCACAAGCCAUGAGUCCAGUAGGGAUACUAAAGCCGAUGAUCCAGCUGACUUGAUCCUGAAUAUACACAACGACGGUCUGUGUAAUAAGCAGAACCACAGUGAAAGUCAGGUAAUACCAGUUGAAGAAACUAGCCACUCCAUUAACACCUUCCUCUGUUCGUUGGUCAAACUGGUCAGCUCCAAAAGGGAUGCUACAUGGCCUUAUUCCUCCUGUCCCUAUUGAAAGGAAAACGAGACCUAAGAACAGAGUCCCGAACUGGAGCUUGUUCGGGCCGCUGCAACUGACUGGAUCUUUGCUAAUGCAUGUUGCUGGGUGGAGUUGAGGAAGCGAUGCUGUGAGUGUCAAUGUCACUAGUCCCUGCAGAUAAUUUAAAAUUACUGAUUAAACAUUACUAAACAACUCAUCAUUCAUUUUUGAAACUGAUUCUUCAUUAGUUAUGAUGAUCAAUACCUUGAAUUGAAUUGAUAUGAUUGUUAGUUACUUUUGAAAAAGCAAACAAUAAUGUGGGAUAGAUUGAAAUUAUGCGAUCGAAUACAAACAAGCAAACAAUUAGUUAAUUAACUUAACCAUAGCCUUAAUAAGUUUUGACUUCUCAUGGUUAAAAGUAAUACUGGGAAACAAUAUUGUGGUACAGAUAUUGACGUAUGACAUCAAAUACUAACAAACAAAAAAUUAAUUAUCUUAAUUAAGACUAGCAUAAUUGGCUUUGACUUCACUUGAUAAAAUGGUGAGAUUUCUUUGAUUAGGUACCGAGUUGGCGACAAACUGAUCACGACGUAGAACCUAAUAUCAUUUUUUUUGUUUAACCUUAAUAUAAUAAUAUGAGUAGUUAAUUGUAACAAUUUAAGUUCCUUAAUUUAAUUAACUAUGAAAAACAAAAAUAAAAGAAAAUAUAGGGGAAGUUAACAAUUGUAUGCGAUAAUAAUUCUACAAUAAUUAGUGAAAAUGACUUUAGAAAAGAAAGUAUCUUAGGUUACGUCAUUGUGAUUGACCAAAUCUACACAUCUUUACUUUCAGUUAGCUAUAUCAUUUGGAAAUUCAAUUAUUGGCCAUUUUCAUUAUCAAAUCGACCACUAGUGCAUUUUCUUCCUUUACACCCGUCUCUUUAUUUCCAAGAUAAAACUCCGUUCCAUUAGAGGAUUUGUUUACUCGAAACUGUGUUACCAAUUAAUCAAAGUUAUUUUAUUUGAAAAUAGUAUCUUAAAAACAACGUUUUCUGUGAGUUUAGCAAAAAAAAAAAAACGUUUUCUGUGAGAUAAAUAUAGUUCUCAUAUAAAGCUUUUUGGGUUUUUGUUUAUACACAUUAUAGAUCGACCUUAUCCCUUUUGAUAACGUGGUCCCUCUAUGUUUUCAUGCGUUUACGUACAAUACAAGAGCAAUAGCUAGAAGCAAAAUACUAUACAUGGGCACUAAAUAUUAGAAGGUUUUUAAUUGGUAUUAUAGCUUUGGUUGAAUAUUUUCAUAUUAUAUAAAAGUUUGUCCUAACGUGGUGACCUUAUGCACCAAGUACCAUAUGUAUCUUCACCACAAGAUCAUAUAUAGAGUAAUAAUAUAACCGUGUUACAAAAAAAAAGAGUAAUAAUAUAACCAUUUUUCUAAAUGUGAUAAAUUUAACUUCUACCUAGAGUUAGUAUGAGUUGAUAAAGUUACUAUUACUAAUAAUACUCAUACGUAGUGUGUAUUUGUAGACACAUUAGAUAAGAAUUUCAGAUAAAUAAGAAAUAAAUACGUACGAGGAGGGUGGCGAAUGACGCGAAAGCGAUGGUCUUGAAACGACCGACGUAAGCGUCUGAGAUAAAAGCGCCGACGAGAGGUGUGAGAUUGGUGAAACCAAACCAAAUGUUGAUGACAUUUGCAGCUUUGACUUGUUCUAAAUGGAACACUCUGGUUAGAUACACCAUGAAGUUUGACAACAACCCAAUCGUUCCCAGUCUCUCAAGCGUUUCAUUUCCUGUUUCAAGCCAUAUAUAUAUUAGUGUACUUCUAUUUUAAAAUUGUCAGAAAAUUUAACAAAUAAAAUGCGUUUUAAAAAUAAGGAAAAUGAAAGAUAUAUGCUUAAAAAGUUACAGUUUUUCCCCAAAUUUAAUGCUACAGUUUUCUUACCGUUUCCAUUAUACGAGUGUCAAACGAGAUGGACGAGUGUCAAACGAGAUGGACGAGUGUCAAACGAGAUGGACGAGUGUCAAACGAGAUGGACGAGUGUCAAACAUGUAACAUAUGUAAUAUGAGAUAAUUCUUCGGAGAAAAAAAAACAUAAAAACAAAAUUAUUAUAACUCUUGGUGGUGAGUUCGUGUUCCGGUUCGAAUAUUUUCAGAUUUCAGGUUAUCGAGGUUAAAUAUUUUAAUUCUAUUUGAAUAUUUCUAAUUUUUUGGGCUCAGUUUGGUUUGGUUUGGAUAAUCCGUUUAAAACUAUUUUUAUAAUGUAAAAUUCAUAUAUAGUAUACAGUUUUCAGAAUCUAAAGAUAAAAAUAAUAUGUGACAUGUAGUUGAAAUUAAGGACAUGUCAAGGAUGAAGUUAACUAAAAAAUAAACUACGUUCACGAACCAAAAAUAGAUAUACGUACCUAAAAUGAACGUGACGGCUCUCCAGCCUCCACGCUUUUUCUCAACCUUCUCAGCAUCCGAAAAAGAAUCAGACGGGCUUUCUUGAUUGUACGAAUCAACAGCAUCCAUCUUCGGCUGCGGUGGUGAAGAACCGUCCCUUCCAUCCAUCAAAACCAUCUCUAAGAUGUAUACAGGCAAAAAUACUUCGAUUUAAAGGGUGGAACUAAUGUUGGGAGAUUUGAUUCUCACUUUUUGAUGUAUAUCUAAAUAAAUAAAGGCAAUCACAUUAAGUGAUUGAUAAAUGUAGAGAGUGGGCUUAUCACUCGUACACUUUCUCUCUGUUAGAGGCUUUUUGGGGAGUAAUGUGGAAGUGUGUGUACAUAUGUAUAUAUAAGGGAGCGAGGAGAUCCAGAAUAUUAUAAGGUGGGUGUGGGUGAUAAUAUAAUAACACCAUUUAUAAAGUGUUAUUAUAGAAAAAAAUAUUUUAGAACAUCUCAAACAUUUUUAUUUUAUUUUAAAUAUUAUUAUUAAAAAAUCUACUUUAAUUCAGUUGUGUAUUAAAAUGAUUUUAUUAUAAAUUAAAUGAAUUAAUAGAAUUUAUGCUUAGAAUACAAAUAGAUACAACCACUAAUUCAAAGUAUUUAUUAAAGUAGACCAAAUUUAUUUACGUUUUCUUUACGAAAACAAUUGUAAAAUUUAUCUAGUGCAUAUAUUUGCUUAGAAUGAACCAUGUAAUCUCAUACGCCAAAACGUAAACAAAUAUAUAAAGUACCUGAAUUGGUUACUUCGGUGUAACUUGUGUAAAACGCUAUCUUUAACGGGAGGGUCAUAGUAGGUCACUGUGCCGUCAUCUUCCGCCGAGAGCUUCAUCUUUCGCUUAUUACGAGCUGCCACGAUAACUUGAGCGAUACUGGAGAAUAUACUUCCUUCAGGUUUAACAUAGAUGUAAAGCUUCAUUCCAGCGAAAAAAAUAACCAGCGCACAAGCCAUGAGUCCAGUAGGGAUACUAAAGCCGAUGAUCCAGCUGACUUGAUCCUGAAUAUACACAACGACGGUCUGUGUAAUAAGCAGAACCACAGUGAAAGUCAGGUAAUACCAGUUGAAGAAACUAGCCACUCCAUUAACACCUUCCUCUGUUCGUUGGUCAAACUGGUCAGCUCCAAAAGGGAUGCUACAUGGCCUUAUUCCUCCUGUCCCUAUUGAAAGGAAAACGAGACCUAAGAACAGAGUCCCGAACUGGAGCUUGUUCGGGCCGCUGCAACUGACUGGAUCUUUGCUAAUGCAUGUUGCUGGGUGGAGUUGAGGAAGCGAUGCUGUGAGUGUCAAUGUCACUAGUCCCUGCAGAUAAUUUAAAAUUACUGAUUAAACAUUACUAAACAACUCAUCAUUCAUUUUUGAAACUGAUUCUUCAUUAGUUAUGAUGAUCAAUACCUUGAAUUGAAUUGAUAUGAUUGUUAGUUACUUUCGAAAAUGCAAACAAUAACGUGGGAUAGAUUGAAAUUAUGCGAUCGAAUACAAACAAGCAAACAAUUAGUUAAUUAACUUAACCAUAGCCUUAAUAAGUUUUGACUUCUCAUGGUUAAAAGUAAUACUGGGAAACAAUAUUGUGGUACAGAUAUUGACGUAUGACAUCAAAUACUAACAAACAAAAAAUUAAUUAUCUUAAUUAAGACUAGCAUAAUUGGCUUUGACUUCACUUGAUAAAAUGGUGAGAUUUCUUUGAUUAGGUACCGAGUUGGCGACAAACUGAUCACGACGUAGAACCUAAUAUCAUUUUUUUUGUUUAACCUUAAUAUAAUAAUAUGAGUAGUUAAUUGUAACAAUUUAAGUUCCUUAAUUUAAUUAACUAUGAAAAACAAAAAUAAAAGAAAAUAUAGGGGAAGUUAACAAUUGUAUGCGAUAAUAAUUCUACAAUAAUUAGUGAAAAUGACUUUAGAAAAGAAAGUAUCUUAGGUUACGUCAUUGUGAUUGACCAAAUCUACACAUCUUUACUUUCAGUUAGCUAUAUCAUUUGGAAAUUCAAUUAUUGGCCAUUUUCAUUAUCAAAUCGACCACUAGUGCAUUUUCUUCCUUUACACCCUUCUCUUUAUUUCCAAGAUAAAACUCCGUUCCAUUAGAGGAUUUGUUUACUCGAAACUGUGUUACCAAUUAAUCAAAGUUAUUUUAUUCGAAAAUAGUAUCUUAAAAACAACGUUUUCUGUGAGUAGCAAAAAAAAAAAACGUUUUCUGUGAGAUAAAUAUAGUUUUCAUAUAAGGCUUUUUGGGUUUUUGUUUAUAUGAUUCACAUUAUACAUCGACCUUAUCCCUCUUGAUAACGUGGUCCCUCUAUGUUUUCAUGCUUUUACGUACAAUACAAGAGCAAUAGCUAGAAGCAAAAUACUAUACAUGGGCACUAAAUAUUAGAAGGUUUUUAAUUGGUAUUAUAGCUUUGGUUGAAUAUUUUCAUAUUAUAUAAAAGUUUGUCCUAACGUGGUGACCUUAUGCACCAAGUACCAUAUGUAUCUUCACCACAAGAUCAUAUAUAGAGUAAUAAUAUAACCGUGUUACAAAAAAAGAAGUAAUAAUAUAACCAUUUUUCUAAAUGUGAUAAAUUUAACUUCUACCUAGAGUUAGUAUCAGUUGAUAAAGUUACUAUUACUAAUAAUACUCAUACGUAGUGUGUAUUUGUAGACACAUUAGAUAAGAAUUUCAGAUAAAUAAGAAAUAAAUACGUACGAGGAGGGUGGCGAAUGACGCGAAAGCGAUGGUCUUGAAACGACCGACGUAAGCGUCUGAGAUAAAAGCGCCGACGAGAGGUGUGAGAUUGGUGAAACCAAACCAAAUGUUGAUGACAUUUGCAGCUUUGACUUGUUCUAAAUGGAACACUCUGGUUAGAUACACCAUGAAGUUUGACAACAACCCAAUCGUUCCCAGUCUCUCAAGCGUUUCAUUUCCUGUUUCAAGCCAUAUAUAUAUUAGUGUACUUCUAUUUUAAAAUUGUCAGAAAAUUUAACAAAUAAAAUGCGUUUUAAAAAUAAGGAAAAUGAAAGAUAUAUGCUUAAAAAGUUACAGUUUUUCCCCAAAUUUAAUGCUACAGUUUUCUUACCGUUUCCAUUAUACGAGUGUCAAACGAGAUGGACGAGUGUCAAACGAGAUGGACGAGUGUCAAACAUGUAACAUAUGUAAUAUGAGAUAAUUCUUCGGAGAAAAAAAAACAUAAAAACAAAAUUAUUAUAACUCUUGGUGGUGAGUUCGUGUUCCGGUUCGAAUAUUUUCAGAUUUCAGGUUAUCGAGGUUAAAUAUUUUAAUUCUAUUUGAAUAUUUCUAAUUUUUUGGGCUCAGUUUGGUUUGGUUUGGAUAAUCCGUUUAAAACUAUUUUUAUAAUGUAAAAUUCAUAUAUAGUAUACAGUUUUCAGAAUCUAAAGAUAAAAAUAAUAUGUGACAUGUAGUUGAAAUUAAGGACAUGUCAAGGAUGAAGUUAACUAAAAAAUAAACUACGUUCACGAACCAAAAAUAGAUAUACGUACCUAAAAUGAACGUGACGGCUCUCCAGCCUCCACGCUUUUUCUCAACCUUCUCAGCAUCCGAAAAAGAAUCAGACGGGCUUUCUUGAUUGUACGAAUCAACAGCAUCCAUCUUCGGCUGCGGUGGUGAAGAACCGUCCCUUCCAUCCAUCAAAACCAUCUCUAAGAUGUAUACAGGUAAAAUACUCUAACUUCGAUUUAAAGGGUGGAACUAAUGUUGGGAGAUUUGAUUCUCACUUUUUGUUGUAUAUCUAAAUAAAUAAAGGCAAUCACAUUAAGUGAUUGAUAAAUGUAGAGAGUGGGCUUAUCACUCGUACACUUUUUCUCUAUUAGAGGCUUUUUGGGGAGUAAUGUGGAAGUGUGUGUACAUAUGUAUAUAUAAGGGAGCGAGGAGAUACAGAAUAUUAUAUGGUGGGUGUGGGUGAUAAUAUAAUAACACCAUUUAUAAAGUGUUAUUAUAGAAAAAAUAUUUUAGAACAUCUCAAACAUUUUUAUUUUAUUUUAAAUAUUAUUAUUAAAAAAUCUAUUCCAAUUCAGUUGUGUAAUAAAAUGAUUUGAUUCUAAAUUAAAUGAAUUAAUAGAAUUUAUGCUUAGAAUACAAAUAGAUACAACCACUAAUUCAAAGUAUUUAUUAAAGUGGAUUUUAUUUUUUGUUUUAGUAAGUAGUAAUAUAUCGGAGAUUUGUUUCUUACAUCGUACGUACUAGACUACUAGUAUUGUUCUACGUAUUCUGAACCUUCCAUAUACUUUUUUUUUUACUAAAGAGGAAGAUUUAUCUGGAAGGUUCAUCGUAGUCAAAAAAAUUUUGGAAAUCUGUUUUUUUAGAGCAAAAAAAUGGUAACUAUGUCCCUUUAGACUAAUUUAUACUACUUUAUGUCCUAUUAGACUAAUUUUUUUCCAAAAUGGCAAUAAUGCCCUUAAAAUUAUAAUUUUUUUAAAAAGAUAUAUAUUGAGUUCGACAAGGGGGAUCGAUCGAUCCCACUUUACAAGUUAUAGUGGAUCGAUCGAUCCCGAUCAUUAUUCAGAACAAAAAAAAACGCGAAAUAUAUAUUGAUCGACAUGGUCCAUUUCACUCGAUCGGCGAAGGUCGAUUUACACAGAUCGACCGAUCUGUAAGAAUAGAUCGAUCGAUCCCGUGCCGAGGAAAGAAUCCCAAAUCGAUUUUUUUGCUUUUGUAUGAUUAUAUCCGGAUUGAUUCCUACUUGAUUUGAACCGACCAAGCAUGAUUUCAACUCUUUAAACUCGAUUUCACUGGGAUAGACAUGAAUCAUGGUAGAUAUAAUGUGAAAAUUUUGUGAAAAUUUUGUGAACAAUCAAUGGAAUAUAGAAGACGGCGAAGAAGGUUGCCAAGGUUUUUUUGUCGCCUUUUUUUGUUCCUUUUUCGUUUUUUUUUUUAAAAAUCGAUUUUUUAAAAAAAUAUAAAAGUGAAUAUUCUCAAAUAUUUUGUUUCCAUAUUUUUAGGAACUGAUUUCUUAUCCGUAGAAUACAACUAAUAUGUAGAAAUCAGUUUCUACAGUUUUUUAGAAUUAUAGUAAUGUUUAGAAUUUGAUUUCUACAUGUUUUAGAUUUAUAGUAAAUCUGUAGAAGUCGGUUUCUACAUGUUUUAGAAUUAGAUUAAUGUGUAGAUUUCGAUUUCUAAGAAUUUUAUAAUGGUAGGUUAAGCGCGGAAUGUGUAUUCUACAUAUUUGUAGAAUACUCCUAUUUACGUAGAUCACGUAUUCUAAACAUUGUAGAUUCAAUGAAAAAAGUAGAUUUCGUUUUCUACUUCGCAGAAUGUCAUUUCUACUUUUUUCAGAACAUAAUCUGAAAUUUAUAAAUUUAACUUUUUUUAUAACUGGAAAAUAUACCAUUAAGUUCAUAUAGGUAUUUUAACAAAUGUUACUAUUUUUUCAAUUUUUUUUUGUUUGUAAAACUAUUUAUUAAAAUUAUUUUAAUAAAUAUGAAAGGGUAUUAUAGGAAAAUAUGACAUAAAAUAUAGAUUAGUCUAAAGGGACAUAAUUACUAUUUUUUUACUCUAAAAAAACAGUUUUCCCAAAAAAAAUUAACCUUCUAUAUUAAUGUUCCACAGAAAAAAAAAAGAUAUAGAUUGGAUUGCGGGGGUAAAUUACAUCAAACACCCUAAUUAAACUUUGUUACUUUUUACAAUAAUCAAACAAAUUUACUAUCCAAUUUAAUACUUUAAUUAAUCAUUUUUAUUUAAAACAAAUUUGUUUUAACCACAAAUAUUAAUAAAUUUCAAAUAAAUUUAAAAAUCUUUAAAAAUCUCCUCUUAAUAUUUAGUUUUAGGAUAGAAGAUAAUUAAAUUUAGAAAAACCUUAAUUUGAGGAAAAAAUAGACUUUUCUAUUUAAAAAAACAAACAAAAUUUUAUAUUUAAAACUUAAAGUUUUAUUACACAACUUAAUAUUAUCCAUAAUUUAGUUAUUUUAUUUCUAAAACUUAAAAUAAAAUUAGAUUUUAAUAUAUUUGUGAAUUUUAGAUAUUUAUUUAAUUUUAUUUGAAACUUAAUAAUAUUUUUAUUAAAAUAAACACAUUUUGAGUGUAAAAUUGUAUAUUAAAUUGUGUAAAAUAAUUAGUUAAUGUAUAAAUUAAAAAAUAAAAUAAAAAAUAUUAAUUAACGAAAUUUAGUUAGAGUAUUUUUAAGGAAAUUUCCAAUAUGCAUUAGUGUCAGAUUUGAUGGGUAUGGUCAGUGUGGAUGUUAAUCAUAUAUGGUAUGAUAUAUGAGUGCAAAUAUGACAUUUUAUUCUUACCUAAAAUUUAUUUGAUAGAUAAUGCUAUUAAAGGAUUGUUUUUAUUCAGUUUCUUAAUAAACGUUUGAUUCGACAGCAUGUUUUCCAUUAAUAUUUUUGGAACAUGUUCAGGAGAUUAAUAAAUAUAAUUUUAAUGAUAAAAUUUCUUAACUAUUUUUGAAACUUUUCAACUAAUAUUUUAACGUUUUAAAUCGGUAACUUAUAAAUCGCUAAUAUAUGUUAUUCUACAUUUAUAACCUUAUUUAUUUAGAAUUAAAAAUAGUUAAUGAGUUUUAUUAUCAUUAAAAGAUUGUAAUAGUUUAUAAAAUCACUUAAACCGAAAAAAAAAAAUAUUUUAUAAAACUUGUGAAAUUGGUUACAAAAUUUAUGAAUAUUAAUAAGAAAUUAUAAAUGCAUAUAAAAUUAUUUAUAAAACUUAAUCACUUAUAAAUUUUACAAAAUCAGCUGUAAGAGUUCAAAAAUAAAGAAUAAGUGUUUUCAAAAGUUUAUAAUAUUAUAUAUGAACCAUUAUUUUUCAUACAAACUUAUAAAAAUAUUUAUGAAAACUUAUAAACUAUUUAUAAGAGUUAUAAAACAAUGUGCAAUGCUUAUAAAGAUUUACAAAAUAUUUUUAAAAAUCUAAUAAACCCUUACUAAAUGUUAAUAAGCAUUGUAGUAAGAAUUGUGAAUGCUUGUAAAAUCAUCGUUAAAGCUUUAUAUCGCAUGUACCCUGGACUCAAAACACACAAGCGGAUAGUCUUGCACGUGUUGCUCACAUCCAACUGUCUCAUUUCGUCUACAUAGACGCAAAGUCUUCUUUUUGGUUAGCUUAGUUUUAAUCGAGUCUGUUUAUGCUGAUGACAAAAAAAAAAUCUUAUAUAUCACAUGUAUAAGUUCUUAAAAUAUUUAAAAACCCUUAUAAAUCGAUUAUAAAAUUGAUAAAUAAUGUAGAAUGAUUUAUAAAUAGUUUUAAAGGCUUAUAAAUUAGUUAUAAUAGCUUAAGAUAAUAUAGAACAUAUUUCGAAUGAUUUCUAACUUUUAUCCAUUUUCAAUGAUUUUAGAAAUCAUUAGCUAAUUUUACUUAAAAGUUACAAAUCUGAUGCACACCUAAACUGAUAUGCGGAUCAAAUUUAGUUUUCUGUAUUAAAAAAAUUACAUAAAUAAUAAACAGUUGGAAUUUAAACAGAGAAAAAUAAUCACGAGAAUCCCUCCUAGCAUUUACAAGCCAAACAAUAAAUAUACAAUUUAAAACUGUUAUAAAUCAUAUUGUGGAUGUCCAUAACCGGCCUGGUCCAUAACUGGUCCAUUACUAGAGAGAGAGAGAGUCGGCCCUGAGCCUAGAGGAGAGAGAGUCGGCCACCUUUGCUUUUUCCUUCUUGGUUUAUGAUUUGUACUCUUUCCAUAUUUGUAUUUCAUUUUUCUAGUCUUUCUAUUAUUCUAUGACGGUGUAAUUCCCUAUAUAUAAAGGGCUCCUGUUUAUGAUGAAUAAGAAUAUAAGAAACUAUUCUCCUAAGUUUCACAACACGUUAUCAGCACGAUUCUCUAAAACCCUAAGCUAAAAGUCCCGACUCAAAACCCUAACUCAUCUCGGCGAUAAACCUUGACAGCUUGAACCGUAAACCCGAUCGAGAACCUUUUUCACCCCGUAUCUAAGGCGUUCCCGAUCCCAGCUAGUUCGCGACCCGUCUUAGCUCAGCCGAUAGACGAUCUCAGUCCGUUCCAGCGCGAGACGAUCUCAGCAAUCACCACGUUCGCGACCCGAUCUCAGCCAGCUCGCGAUAGACGUUCCCGAUACCGUUCGCGACCCGUCUCAGCUCGCAACCAACGUCUCAGCUCGCAACCAACGUCUCAGCAACGUUCCAGCUUGCGACCUUCCUUUUGUUCGUGGUCCAUCCAACCCAAUUGGAGGUUAAGGUAAAUCUAAAACUCUAAUAACCAAAACCCUAAGGUAAUAGAUCCAAACCCUAAUACCUAAAAUCAAAAUUGAUUACUUGAUCUUAAUUCAAACCCUAAUGCUAAACCUAGAAUCGAAACUGAAUUUGGUUGAUUGAUUAAAUAUGUUGUAUGAUCACAUAGAAUCCGAAUGCUAGGUUUGCUAAAAUUAAUACUUGAAAUCGAAUUGCUUGAUUGAUUGUUUGAAUAUGAUCACAUAAAUUCGUAUGCUAGGUAUCAUGUUUAAGACUUGAGUAUCCGACCGGCCUUGUUCAUAUUAAAACCUAAAUUGCAUUGAUUGAUUGAAUAUGAUCUGUUAGGUUGAUAGUAAAUUAACCCCUUGAUGCAUUGCUUGAUUGUUUGAUUGAGGUUUCAUGUUUCCACUCAUAUGAUCACCUAGAAACCGUUUGCUAGGUUGUAUAACCAAUUGCAUUAUGAACAUAUAGAAAUCGAAUGCUAAGCUGAACAUACUUGGUCGUGCGGCUUGUCUUGCAUUAUACCCGUAUAAACUGAUUUGCAUCAUAUCCGAUUGUCAUGUAUGCAUCAUAUGAAAAUUAUAAUCUUAAGAAUGAAAUAUAUGAUUUCAGAUGUCGAAAAUCAACAACUUGGAUUUUGCUGCCCUAAAUCUCUCGGGAGAUAAUUACUUGCAAUGGGCAUUGGAUACUAAGAUUAUCCUGAAAUCCAAGGGACUCGGUGAAUGUAUCACCGACGACAAUAAUGCUAGUGAGAAAGAUAGAUACAGAGCUAUAUUGAUUAUACGCCAUCAUCUUAUUGAGAGUCUCAAAGAUCAGUAUUUGACUAUUGAGAAUCUUCUAGACCUUUAGACAGAGUUGAAAACGAGAUAUGGUCACCAGAGAACGGUGUUAUUACCAAAGGCUAUGUAUGAUUGGAGGAAUCUCAGAAUCCAGGACUUCAAGUCCGUGGACGAGUAUAACUCUGCCCUAUUUAAGAUAGUUUCUAAAUUGAAACUGUGUGGUGAAGAUAUAACGGAUAAGGAUAUGCUUGAGAAAACCUUUUCCACCUUCCACACAAGCAAUGUGUUGUUACAACAACAGUACCGUGAGAAGGGCUUCACGACUUAUGCUAAUCUGAUCUCUUGUCUAUUGUUCGCGGAGCAAAACAAUGAGCUGUUGAUGAGAAACAGUGAAUUGAGACCUCCUGGAUCAACCCCAUUACCUGAAGCACAUGCGGCCGUAGAGGCUAAGAAAGAGUCGAACCAUGUCCAGAGUGAUAGCCAACACGGCCGUGGCCGUGGAAAAUGGCAUGGACGUGGUCGAGGCCGAAACUCCUUUGGUCGAGGCCGAGGCAAUUAUAAUUCUUAUGGCCAUGGCCAAGGAAACUCCUAUGGAGGCCGUGGUACUUCUUUUAAGCCACAAAACUCGACCAAAUCUGUGUGCCAUAGAUGUGGUAUGGGUAAUCAUUGGGCUAAGACAUGUAGGACUACCAAACAUCUUGUUGACAUCUAUCAAGAGAGUUUGAAAGGGAAGAAUCCUGAAAUCCAUAUGACCUAUCAAGAUGGUGAAGAUGAUUUCAAUCAUGAACGAGACGAUCUUAUGGAUUAUGAAACUUCAGAUUGUCUAAAAGAAUGAAGUUGAAUUCAACAUCUAAACUUUUGUGUUCUUUACUUCUGUGUUUUCUAUGUUUUAUUUCUUUAAACUUGUUUUAUUAAACUUAAUGAAUGAAUGAUUUUUAUAUGAAGUCUCUAAAGUAUCAUUCUAUAAAUCUUGUUUUGAAGAAUGAACGAUUAUAUGGAUAUAUUUGUUGUGGGCAGUGGGUCAAGCCACACGAUCUUAAGAGACAAAAGAUAUUUCAUAAACCUAACUCUUAAAAACGCCAAUAUAAAUAUUAUUGCGGGUAUAGCCAGUCUCAUAGAGGGCUAUGGUCAGGCUAACAUCCUGUUGCCUAAGGGUACACAUCUAGAGAUAUCUGAUGCAUUGUAUUCACCCAGCUCUAAGAGAAGCCUAUUGAGCUUUAAAGACAUUCGAAUGAAUGGUUUUCAUAUUGAGACUAAGGACGAAGGAAACAAAGAGUUCCUUCAGAUCUUUGAAAUCACCCAAGGCCAUAAGAAAGUCUUAGAGACUAUACCUGCACUCUCUACUUGUCUUUACUACGCCAAGGUCAGUAUGAUAGAGGUCAAUGCCACAUUAAACAGAGUGGCCAAUGAGAAUUUCACUCUUUGGCACGACCGGCUCGGCAAUCCUGGUUCGACCAUGAUGCGAAAGUUGUUACUGAACACAAACGGCCAUACAUUGAAAGAGAAAAUAGUUGUUCCUAAGAAUCUCACGUGUGUAGCAUGUUUACAAGGAAAACUCAUUGUUAGGCCAUCACCAGUUAAAGUGACUAAGGAAACAAUAAACUUUCUGGAAAGAAUACAAGGAGACAUAUGUGGACCAAUACACCCACCUUGUGGGACGUUCAGAUAUUAUAUGGUCCUGAUUGAUGCGUCCACGAGAUGGUCGCACGUCUGUCUCUUAUCAACUCGUAACUUGGCGUUUGCGAAAUUGUUGGCUCAGAUCAUUCGUUUGAUAGCACACUUUCCAGACUUUCCUUUAAAGACUAUACGUCUUGAUAAUGCUGGUGAGUUCACGUCCCAAGUGUUUAAUGAUUAUUGUAUGUCCAUGGGGGUAAGUGUGGAACACUCCAUGGCACAUGUACAUACACAGAACGGCUUGGCCGAAUACAACUAAUAACUAGACCAUUGCUUAUGAGAUCAAAACUCCCGGUCUCAGCUUGGGGACAUGCGGUCCUGCAUGCGGCCAAACUCAUACGCAUCAGGCCAUCGAGUGAACAUAGAUAUUCCCCAUCACAAUUGCUCACGGGUCACGAGCCAGACAUAUCUCAUCUUAAGACAUUUGGAUGUGCCGUUUAUGUUCCAAUUGCACCACCACAGAGAACAAAGAUGGGACCUCAAAGGAGGAUGGGGAUAUAUGUUGGAUAUGAUUCUCCCACGAUUAUUAAGUACCUUGAGCCAACUACGGGUGAUUUAUUUAAGGCCAGGUACGCGGAUUGUCAUUUUGAUGAAUCCGAACAUCCAACAUUAGGGGGAGAGAAUAAUAAGCUGGUAAAAGAAAUUACAUGGAAUCAAACAUCCUUAUCUUGGCAAGAUGCUCGGACUCAAGAAUGUGAUUUAGAAGUCCAAAAGAUUAUACAUUUACAAAAGCUAGCUAAUCAAUUGCCAGAUUCCUUUGCUGACCCGAAAAGAGUAAAAAAGUCAUAUAUACCAGCUGCUAAUGCACCAAUUCGUAUUGAUGUUCAAGAGGGACACAAUCAAGUUGCUACAGAGACUAGACAACAUUUGAAACGUGGUAGACCAAUAGGUUCCAAAGAUAAGAACCCUCGGAAAACUAAGAAAGGUGCAGAUAAAGAAACCGAGGUUGUUAAAACCCUAGACACGACCGCAGCCAAAUCGAAAUCCCGAGUCGUAGACGCGGCCGAUCCCAAAACCCUAAUAGCGAUCGCGGACGAUCAUAAACCCUUAGAUGCGGCCGGCCCUGAUGUACCUAAUACUGAUGCUUGGGACGCCAAGCUUCAAGGUACUGAAGGCCCUGAUAAUAAUGAGAUCUCAAUAAAUUAUGUUUUGUCUGGGAUACAAUGGAACAGAAAGAAUGUCGACAUUGAUGAUAUAUUUGCAUACAAGGUAGCACUUGAAAUUAUGGAUUUAAACGAGGAUCAUGAACCCACGUCUACUUAUAAGUGCACUCAACGAUCAGAUUGGAUCAAAUGCAAAGAAGCUAUAAACGUGGAGUUAAAUUGUUUAAAGAAAAGAUGUGUCUUCGGUCCUAUAAUCCGAACACCCUAUGAUGUUAUACCAGUUGGAUACAAUUGGGUCUUUGUGAGGAAAAUAAAUGAACAUGGUGAAGUCUUGAGAUAUAAAGCACGGCUUGU
rnacentral:lncRNA from 1 species